GGGCCAUAGCUCAGUGGUAAAGCACCUGCUUUGCAUGCAGAAGGUCCUGGGUUCAAACCCCAAUGGCAUCU